rnacentral:rRNA from 1 species
CGGCGAGUGAAGAGGGAAGAGCCCAAGAUUGAAAGCUGGCGUCUUCGGCGUCCGCAUUGUAAUCUCAAGAAGUGUUUUCCGCUUCGGACCAUGCCUAAGUCCCUUGGAAAAGGGCAUCAUAGAGGGUGAUAAUCCCGUACAUGGCUUGGAGCGCCCGAGGCUUUGUGAUACGCUUUCUAAGAGUCGAGUUGUUUGGGAAUGCAGCUCAAAAUGGGUGGUAAAUGCCAUCUAAGGCUAAAUAUUGGGGAGAGACCGAUAGCGAACAAGUACAGUGAUGGAAAGAUGAAAAGAACUUUGAAAAGAGAGUUAAACAGUACGUGAAAUUGCCAAAAGGGAAGGGUAGGAGGUCAGAGAUGCGGCCUGGGAUUCAGCCUUGCUUUUGCUUGGUGUUUUUCCCAGAUUGCAGGCCAACGUCGGUUUUGGGCACUGGAGAAGGGUAGGAGGAACGUGGCACCCCUCGGGGUGUGUUAUAGCCUCCUACUGGAUACAGCGACCGAGACCGAGGACAGCAGCGUACUCGCAAGAGCGGGCCUUCGGGCACCUUUACGCUUAGGGCGUUGGCAUAAUGGCCCUCUACCACCCGUCUUG